GUUUAGCCUAGCCUGCUGCACUGACAGCCCCCUGUGCCCACCCCCACCACACUUCGGCCCCCGUACAGUGCUGCUCACUGCGGACUUAAGAGUGCACCGGAAACCGUCCAGAGACCUCCGACACGGACAGAAAGCCAACCAGCCUCGUCAUGGGUCAUCUCCACAAAGAAACCGAAACCGACCGCCACAAAGAUCCUGGACGAGUCCUCCCUGACAGAAGAAGAAGAAGAAGAAAAAGAAGAGGCUUCUGGGUAAUGAUUUAAGCCUGGACGAAGAAGUUACAGCCGAGAUCAACAUCAGUCUUCAGCUGAGAACCGGAAUGCUGCAGGGACAUAUGUACAGAGAGAACUUUGAUUAAAAAGAUUCUUUUCCCCAAAUUCUAUUAAACAGAUGUUUUUCUUCAUUUAGUAAGAUAUUGAAUCAUUGAGGUAAGAAGACAUCCUAAAUGUUCAUCAUA